UGAUGCGCGUGUCUCUUCUACCGAAUCACCGGGAAUGCGCGCUCCCGCGUGCGCUCACCUGAGGCGGUGGUGCGCGUGCGCGCUCAGGUGAUGCAACAGAACCCCCACGAGAGACUCGACACACGGGCUCUGCGUCUCCAGGAGCAGCAGACGGUGCUUUGGACGCACAGCACAGAUCUGCAGAGCUGCUGGAGGACAUGCAGGGGUCCGUCGCGUGGAUGUGGGUGCUCUGGAGGAAUACCUCUGUCUGCGUUUGUUUGAACUCGUUUAAACACACCGGAGCGGAAUAAUAUCUGACAGUUCGUUCGCGGAGAGACUCGUUCAGGAUCAAACUUUGAUGACACAAAUCAAGGUGGGUCAAAAGCCAUGACAUCAGAGGAGGAGGGGCCUGCUGUGGUGGGGGCGGAGCCACACGUGGACCAGCCACACGUGGACCGGUGUGCCUCUUCUGGCUGGGAUGGGCUUGUUGAAGAGGCGGAGCCUGCUGAGCAGGAGGAGCAGGAGCAGGAAGUGGCUGAUGAUGUCAGCAGUGAGUUAAGUGCUCUGGUCGUCCCGUACCCAGAACUAGCGCCCAUCGUCUUCUUCUGCCUCAAACAGACCACGUGUCCUCGCAUCUGGUGCAUCCGCAUGGUGUCCAGCCCAUAUCCUUACCAACCACUUUAGGGUUUAUUUUUGUCUGCUUUCAUGUAAGGUACAGUUUUAGUUUUUUUUUGUUUUUGUCAUUUAUAUUAGUUUUUCCAAAAUAUCUAUAUUGUAUUUAUGUAGAUAGUUUUAAUACAAAUAACUUAAUAAAAAAAUAAAAAAAGGUAAAACAAA